rnacentral:rRNA from 1 species
CAGUAGCCGCGGUAAAACGAAGGGUGCAAGCGUUACUCGGAAUUACUGGGCGUAAAGCGUGCGUAGGUGGUGGUUUAAGUCCGUUGUGAAAGCCCUGGGCUCAACCUGGGAAUUGCAGUGGAUACUGGGUCACUAGAGUGUGGUAGAGGAUAGUGGAAUUUCCGGUGUAGCAGUGAAAUGCGUAGAGAUCGGAAGGAACAUCUGUGGCGAAGGCGACUAUCUGGGCCAACACUGACACUGAGGCACGAAAGCGUGGGGAGCAAACAGGAUUAGAUACCCCCGUAGUCCCUGUCUCUUAUAC